rnacentral:rRNA from 1 species
GGUUGGGGGGGGGCCCGGGGGGUUUAUGGGUUUUGUGAACCUGCUCAUGAUUGAACGGCUGCGGCGUGCUUAACACAUGCAAGUCGAACGAUGAUCCCAGCUUGCUGGGGGAUUAGUGGCGAACGGGUGAGUAACACGUGAGUAACCUGCCCUUGACUCUGGGAUAAGCCUGGGAAACUGGGUCUAAUACCGGAUAUGACUCCUCAUCGCAUGGUGGGGGGUGGAAAGCUUUUGUGGUUUUGGAUGGACUCGCGGCCUAUCAGCUUGUUGGUGGGGUAAUGGCCUACCAAGGCGACGACGGGUAGCCGGCCUGAGAGGGUGACCGGCCACACUGGGACUGAGACACGGCCCAGACUCCUACGGGAGGCAGCAGUGGGGAAUAUUGCACAAUGGGCGCAAGCCUGAUGCAGCGACGCCGCGUGAGGGAUGACGGCCUUCGGGUUGUAAACCUCUUUCAGUAGGGAAGAAGCGAAAGUGACGGUACCUGCAGAAGAAGCGCCGGCUAACUACGUGCCAGCAGCCGCGGUAAUACGUAGGGCGCAAGCGUUAUCCGGAAUUAUUGGGCGUAAAGAGCUCGUAGGCGGUUUGUCGCGUCUGCUGUGAAAGACCGGGGCUCAACUCCGGUUCUGCAGUGGGUACGGGCAGACUAGAGUGCAGUAGGGGAGACUGGAAUUCCUGGUGUAGCGGUGAAAUGCGCAGAUAUCAGGAGGAACACCGAUGGCGAAGGCAGGUCUCUGGGCUGUAACUGACGCUGAGGAGCGAAAGCAUGGGGAGCGAACAGGAUUAGAUACCCUGGUAGUCCAUGCCGUAAACGUUGGGCACUAGGUGUGGGGGACAUUCCACGUUUUCCGCGCCGUAGCUAACGCAUUAAGUGCCCCGCCUGGGAGAACGCCAACGGC